GGUCAUGAGUGCCAGCACCAAGCCCCGGCUUGCUGGCCGGCAACCCUCCAACCGCGGUGGGGUGCUCCGGGUGAGGACCAGGUUGUGUAGCCGAAAGCGGCUACCGGCAAGCGCGGGUC
rnacentral:ncRNA from 2 species